UACGUAGGGUGCAAGCGUUGUCCGGAAUUAUUGGGCGUAAAGAGCUUGUAGGCGGUUUGUCGCGUCUGCUGUGAAAUUUCGGGGCUCAACCCCGAACUUGCAGUGGGUACGGGUAGACUAGAGUGUGGUAGGGGAGACUGGAAUUCCUGGUGUAGCGGUGAAAUGCGCAGAUAUCAGGAGGAACACCGGUGGCGAAGGCGGGUCUCUGGGCUGACACUGACGCUCAUGCACGAAAGCGUGGGGAGCAAACAGG
rnacentral:rRNA from 1 species